UACGAAGGGGGCUAGCGUUGCUCGGAAUCACUGGGCGUAAAGCGCACGUAGGCGGGUCUUUAAGUCGAAGGUGAAAUCCUGGAGCUCAACUCCAGAACUGCCUUCGAUACAGAGGAUCUCGAGUCCGGGAGAGGUGAGUGGAACUGCGAGUGUAGAGGUGAAAUUCGUAGAUAUUCGCAAGAACACCAGUGGCGAAGGCGGCCCACUGGCCCGGUACUGACGCUGAGGUGCGAAAGCGUGGGGAGCAAACAGG
rnacentral:rRNA from 1 species